GAUUUUCAGCCUGGGCACUAGCAACAUGGCAGACUGGUCACCAUGUCUUUAUUUGGGGGGACUGUCAUGCAUUGUAGGUAUGUUCAGCAGCUUCUGACCCCUGUCCUAUAGAUACACCACCUCUCCACCCAUCUUGACAGCCAAAAAAACAUCUCCAGACAUUGCUAAAUGUCUCCUGUGGUGCAAAACUCACCACCAUUUGAGAAGCCCUAGAAGAAGUAAGGAGGUGGUCCCAGUCUGAGAGAUUCCCUCCAAUGACACAUUUUGGGGGAGCUGGCAGUGAGCUAUCCAGGUGCAAGGAAACGGACUGACUGCACUCAAUGGUUCCACAAGACUCCCUUGCAAUCAAAACACCCAUUGGAAAUGUCACCUGCACCAGGUGGAUAAAGGAGGCAGAUGGCUUCAAGCCUGCACCAAGGCUCAGCCAAUGGAGGUUUCAAUUGAUGCGGACUACACAGUGAAAUAAAGGGAAAGUCCUUCUCAAGCCACAACUGAGCCCAUGUCUUCUGGCAGCACCUGAGAGUUCUAAAGAGACAGGGGCCCAGAAGAGAAGCGCAGCUCAUCCUUCAUGUGACUAUUUAAGCUUGAACCAGGAAGGGUGACAACUGCAGGGGUGGCCACUGAGUUCCAUGGAUGGAAGCAGCACUGGGUCAUUGCUGUGGGACCCAGGAGAUGCUGGAAUUUCUUGGCCCUCUGUUGGACCCAAGCGCUGGCUUCUGCUUUCUGCCAGAACAAAACUUCUACUUCCCACCACUCUGCAGAGUCCCCAAGGCCGCCCUGGGCCAGAUGCUCCCCCAGAUGGUGAGCACAGGUGGACGGGGGCCACACCUGGCCAUGAGCUUCCAAUCAAGGACUGGGGACCAAGACAGGGGCCACGCAGCCGGGAGGCUCCAUCGCUCUGGAAGUCAUGGCAGGAGGGACAGUUGGUUAGAAGAACUUGAACUGGAAGCAAGCGAGACUGCAGGGGCAGCAAGGAGGGCUGCAGAGCUGCCAAGACAGGCUUCCAGGAUCAGAGGCAGAAGAGUCACAAUGGCCAUCUGUGAGAUCAGAGGUGAAGAAUCCAAAAUGGCGUUCUGCAUGCUGUGGAGCUGGAGGAUCCAGUAGCAAAGGCUGAAGGCCUGGAAGCUCACUGCAGAGUUGCUGGUGUGAGUCUACACUGGGAGGUAGAGUCUGCACGGGGAGACUGAAGAAACUGGAGACAAGCAUCCAAAGGCAAAGACAAAGACUGGAGCUCUUCUGCAAAAAGGACGGGCACACAUUUUCUUCUUUCCCUUUUUAUUCUGUUCAGGCUACUGGGGUGGGGUUCCCCCUUAGUUUCCUAGUGUACACAUCAGUCAUCCACUCACACACCCAGAACUCACUACUCUGCUAGUCUAUUCAAGUCAAAUUGACGUAGCACAAUUAAGGAUCACAGCACUUAAUUCAAUGUCAGGAACAGGCUGGUCCCUGAAUCUCUUGUUUUAGAAAAGGUUAUCAAAUUGAUUCUGAUGUACAGCUUGGAAACUACAAGCCUAAGCCAGACUGUUUCAUAAGAGAGGAAACCAGAUUCCAGAAAGUAGGAAAGGGAUUGCUGUGUCCUAGGUCAAUGCCAUGGAUAAGGGUUUUAGUAAUAGCAAGGUAUAUAG
rnacentral:lncRNA from 1 species